GGUCAAGCUAUGAAGGGCACACGGUGGAUGCCUUGGCAUCGAGAGGCGAUGAAGGACGUGGGCAGCUGCGAAAAGCUUCGGGGAGUGGCUAACACACUUUGAUCCGAAGAUAUCCGAAUCGGGCAACCGUCUGGGGUCAUACCCAGAAGUCCAACACUGAAUUCAUAGGUGUUGGAUAGC
rnacentral:rRNA from 1 species